UUUUCUUAUGCAAUCGUUAUCGAUGCGCCUGCGCACAAGAGCUUGAUGAUCUUCGUGCAUUUACACGUGAAUAUUGCUUACAAACUAGCUAGCAAGCUACCCAGGCGCUCGGCCGAGACAGCGGGAGCGCGAGCAGGUACCGUGGGUUGUUUGUUCAGUUCAGUGCAUACCGUAUGCGUGUGCACAUGCUAGCUCUCGGCGGUACGGUCGGCGGCGGCCCAUCUGCUUUGUUGAACGUGGCUUGCACUGCACUCAACAUUGCCAUUGUCCUUAUGAACUUGGGCCGGUUCAAGUUUAUGACAUAAUCUGAUGGUGUAGAAGUAUUAAAUCUCUGGAACUAAUUUGUUACCUAUUGCAGGAAGCUCUGCCUCUGGACAAAAAGCAGCGAAGGCAAGCCCGCAAGAUACGGAUCCUUGAGCCUUUGAGGUUAUUAUAUAAGGUCAAUACUUGAACUAGUGCAGUCAUCAUGAUCAUCUCCAGAAUACCCGGGAGGCUCUUCCCCAGCAGAAUUAUACAGGUGAACAACACCACCUCACCCCAGAGUGAGCGAAUCCCAGCCCCUAGGUCAGCUCUGGUCAUCCUGUGCCUAGGGGUUUGUCUCUCCAUGUUCAGUGCUCAUCGACUUCAUACGACAUGUUCGCUCAGACAUGUCAAAGAUAAGUAGAUUUAUAAUGGACUAGUGACCUGAAAAUGGACACUGAUAGAGACAUGUUCAUGUGACAGAACCUGCAGGACAGGCUGUAUAUUGACCUGAUCGAGGUUAUUUUGAGCCUGGAUUGUUAGCGGAUAGAGGAAUGCAUAAGACCAUUGAGACGGCAAUCGCUUGAGCAAGCCAUAUGAUAUGUGCCAUGGUGCCAUUCAGUUGAAGUGGAUUGUUUGUAACAAGAACGGUGAAGACUCAUCCUGAUUGGAUAACACAGUUCUGUGAAUACAUGUAACUUGUAGAACUUUCAGAGAACAUCCAAGAACAAGUGCCUAAUUGAUGGUCAGUGCUUCACACAAACAUUUUAUAGGCAUUCUGUUUUUUAUUUCACGUUUCAAGGUAUUCAUGCGAGUGCUCGUUAAACCUUGGCAAUUAAAGAAAUCAUUUGAUGUGUAGACUUGUCUGCAAAUUAUUUUUGGAGUUAUAUUCCUAUUUCUUAGUCCUGAGCUAUCUGUUGUUAAAGUUUGAUAGUUCUCAUCUGAUCUCAUUUCCAAUAUUUAUUAUUAGGUAAAAUCAAAUAAUGAAUGUAAAAAAGAAUAUUUUCCCAGAAUGUCAAAUGAGAUAAUCAAUGCUUAGAAUUGCUGGGCGAUAUUUUGAUAUUGAAAAAAUAUUGAAUAUUCGGUAAUGGUUUCAUGACUUUGUUGAUCUUUCAAGAUAAUAUGAUAUGACCAAAAUUGUAAUACUGUCACUUAUGAAAAAUUAAUCACUAUUUAUUGACUACAAUUGCCAUUCUGUAUUGCUUUAAACCAACUCAACAUAAAGUUGGUACACAAAUUCCCACUUUUCAUGGACAAGCACAGAUUAUAGCCUUGCUUUUUGUAUCCCUCAUUCUUGCUCUCACGGCAUUGCUUACUUUCAUAAUGAACGUAUGAUAAUGAAUUUUCCGACUUGGCGUUGUUAUGUGUUAUUGGAGAUAUUUUGUUGGCGAUAGAUGUCCAGCACUGCACUAAUGCCUACAUGUCUUAUGAUAAGUAAUUGACAAACUCAUGUCAAGGUCAUAAAUUCCCAAUAUCAUACAUUACAUGUAUCUCAGUCAUCUGAAUGCUUAAAAUUUGCACUAAACCCAACCCUCUAGUCUUCAGUUGACUUCAAUAUCAGUAUAAAGUCCUUUAAAAAAUGUAUGAUUUUAUAUUUUUUCAUUGAUUUGUUAACUUUCUAAUCUUACAACAGAAGAUGGGGAUGAUGGUGUGUGGAUGUUUAUAUGUAUAUGCCUACAUGUACAAGUACAUGGAAAUGUAGCUCUCCUGCCCACAUGUGUGUGACAUAGUAAGUUGAUAUGAAGUGUGCAUAUAUGUUGUAAAUAAUAGAUUUUAUGACUGGUACUGUGGUACAUGUACACGAUUUUGUAGUUUUGCAUUCCUUGCAUGGUAUUCUGUUCAGGAUUUGAUCUAUAAAUACAGUCCAUAAACAUCAUACCUUCAGUCUCAUGAACUGUUGACCCAUGUGAACAUUCAUUCAAUUUUUAACAUAAACUACAAUAUAGAUUACAAAUAGUUAUCUCUUUUAUUAUAUAGAGACCUUAAAUUUAUGAUGGAAUAAAGAUUAGAAUUUCCUUCAUAAUUAAUUGUAGGCCUACAUUUGCCAAAAUCAACAGUGAUCUGAGAAGAAUCUGCUGAAGCUUAACAUUUCAGUUGGGAAAUACUGUCUUGAAAUAGUUCCCUCACAAGUGUUUGGCACAAAUAUAGAUGUUUAAGUUCCCUAUUCUAAUUCUUUUAUUUCCAAUUUCAAGAUGUUGACAAUGUAUUUUACUGUAGGAAUUUUUUUUUACUGUACUCAUGACUGUAAUGUUACAUGUAUGUUCACCUUGUUUACAUGUAAGUAACAGCAGGUAUAUUUUCUGGUCACUGAGCCUUUGACCUUUAAAGAGGAGUUUAUGAUUGAUGGUUUCAAACAUGUGCUGGAUGAAAGUGAAUUCAUAGGUCACAGACUUUAUUACUUAACCUAUCUUCAGUACAUUGAAUGGUGUCUUGAUACUCAUGGAGAUAAAGAGAGAAUAUUAUUGUUCAUGUAGUCCAGACUUGUUGUUCUCAUAUGAAAUUGUGAAAACCGCUCUGGCCUUGUAUCUAGGAUACAAAGUGACAAUAUACAACUGUAUUGUGCAAUGACAAAUAGAAGAUUGUAAUUGGAAGACUGGUGGGGGGAUGGGGAUGUAACAUAAAUCUUAUCACCUUUUGCAAUUUCUGGACACGGAUUGCUGUAGACUUUACGGUCAAGUAAAGUGUUCAAUUGAUUUCCCUGGUUCAUUAUUUUGGGGUGACAUUUUCCCCUUCUUGUUUAAUGAUUAAUUAUAUGUACUGCCCCUUUCGAGAACUUGAGACCAAGAUGAUUAACUGUAUAACAUAAGGAUUUGAAGUUCAUUGUAUUACUAUGAGGAAUAGGAACAUUUAAGCAGUGAUUAAAAAAACAAUGUGCAGGAUGCCAAAUAAAAACGCCAACAUGAGAAUAUACUUAAGUUAUUACCCAGGUUAAGCAUACAUGUAGACACUCCUGGUAUCCUAUUAUUACGCUAGUACUGGUUGCUAUGUAAUUGAUUACUAAUUUUGGAUUGCCCUUUGUAUGCAACUAGUGUUUUCAUGAUUAAUGCAAUUCAUUUCAAUAUGUUUACUGUUUACAAUAGUUUUAUCAUGGAUUGUUCUAUGGUUUGUUCCAUUUUCUAUUUAUAUUAAAGCUUUACUUAUGACGCAGAGGAGUGAAUUAUUGUAUACUCACAGGGGCCGCAGAGGGGGGGGGGGGGGUAAUUUGUGAUAGUUUGUUGUGUUCCAUUAAUUUGUCUGAGUGUGGAUGUACAACAUUGUCCAUGGAUGUUAAGUGGAGAACUAUGCAAGAAUAAUGCCACCACAAAUAUUCAACAAAAAGAUGCCAAUUUACCAUAUUUGUCAGUAUAAGUUGACUUAUUUGAUUGUGGUAUCCAACCCAUCAAUACUUUGGUCAGAUUAUCAUUUCAAACAUAUAACUUCAUCUAUUUCCCCCCAAAUGUACAGUAUUUCCUUUGACUUUUUUAACAGAAUUUGAAGUGUGUUUACAGAAGUAAUGUAUGAGUGAUGAGAGGCACACUGAAAUGGGUAAUUUAGAAAUCUAAAGCAUUGUUAUGUAAUAUGUGUAAUUUAUUAAUGCAAGUACCUAUACAUUAAUUAGUUCUGCACAGAGUCUUAGAAAAUGUAACUCAAAAUUGAAAAAAAUGUACCCAUGGAUAUUAUCGUCAUGAAUAUUCAUUAGGUGGGCUGAUGAUAUCAUCAUCAGCCCACUUAAUGAAUAUUCAUGACGACUGUUUUCCCCAAAUAUUGCUAAACUUUAAAAUUCAAUAACUUUGUUAUUUAUUAUCCGAUUUUGAUGAAAUUUUUGGCAUUUUGCUCAGUGAAUUCUACUCUAUUUAUUAAGCUAUAAAUAUUUUCAGCCCGGACCAUCCCUUUAAAUGUGAAAUAAUAAUACCAUUUGGCACAGCAGAUGAUCAAUCAUUGUUUUUGGUGCAUACAUGUGUAUACAGUACCUUAUAUGAAUAUUUCUAAUAUGAUAGUGAUGUUCAAUUGCUCUAUAAUCUUUAAAGAACAAGUCCACUGCAACAAAAAGUUGAUUUGAAUAAAAAGAGAAAAAUCCAACGAACAUAACACUGAAAAUUUCAUCAAAAUCGGAUGUAAAAUAAGAAAGUUAUGACAUUUUAAAGUUUCGCUUAAUUUCACAAAACAGUUAUAUGCACAUCCUGGCUGAUAUGCAAAUGAGGAGACUAUGACGUCAUCCACUCACUAUUUCUUUUGUAUUUUUUAAUUGAAAUAUUUUAAUUUUCUCAUUGUCAAGUGAUACAACGAUUAAUUCCUCCCUGAACAUGUGGAAUUAGCAUUGUUUAAUACUAAUAUGGUUCAGUCAAGUUGGUCCUUAUUGUCAAAUCUAUAAAAAAUGAAAUAUUGUAUAAUUCAAACAAUAAAAAACAAAAGAAAUAGUGAUGGACAUCAUCGACUGACUCACCUAGUUGUGCAUAUCACUGUUUUGUGAAAAAUAAGCGGAACUUUAAAAUGUCAUAACUUUCUUAUUUUACAUCCGAUUUUGAUGAAAUUUUCAGCACUAUGCUAGUUUGAUUUUUCUCUAUUCAAGUCGGCAUUUUUCUGGGGUGGACUUGACCUUUAAUUCACACAUAAACCUUGUAGUUUCUUAUACGUAUUUAUUUGUGCAUGUACUAAGUUGAUUCUUUCAACAUUCAGAAUAUAGUUCAUUUCAGUAUUUGCAGUAUAUCUCUUCUGCCUUUGAUUGUAAUAUGAGUUCAUUCUUGAGGAAUAUAAUAAAUACAGAAAAUAACCUA